GAUGAACGCUAGCGGCAGGCCUAACACAUGCAAGUCGAGGGGCAUCGCGGUGCAGCAAUGCACUGGCAGCGACCGGCGUACGGGUGCGUAACGCGUAUGCAACCUGCCCCGCACCGGGGGAUAGCCCGCCGAAAGGCGGAUUAAUACCCCAUGGUCCCGGGGGCCCGCAUGGGCAUCCGGGUAAAGCCUUGGCGGUGCGGGAUGGGCAUGCGUGCCAUUAGCUGGCUGGUGGGGUAACGGCCCACCAGGGCAACGAUGGCUAGGGGGUCUGAGAGGAUGGUCCCCCCAACUGGUACUGAGACACGGACCAGACUCCUACGGGAGGCAGCAGUGAGGAAUAUUGGUCAAUGGGCGGAAGCCUGAACCAGCCAUGCCGCGUGCGGGAUGAAGGCCCUACGGGUUGUAAACCGCUUUUCCCCGGGAAGAAUAAGCCCCCCGCGGGGGUGAUGCCGGUACCGGGGGAAUAAGGAUCGGCUAACUCCGUG
rnacentral:rRNA from 1 species